GAGUUUGAUCCUGGCUCAGGAUUAACGCUAGCGGCAUGCCUAAUACAUGCAAGUCGAACGAAAGUAGCAAUACUUUAGUGGCGAACGGGUGAGUAACACGUAUCUAACCUACCAUUUAGUGAGGAAUAACUGUUGGAAACAACAGCUAAUACCGCAUAUGUUAUUUAUUUGCAAUGAUAAAUAAUGAAAGGAGCAUUUGCUUCGCUAAUUGAUGGGGAUGCGGCGCAUUAACUAGUUGGUAAGGUAAUGGCUUACCAAGGUAACGAUGCGUAGCCGAUCUGAGAGGAUGAACGGCCACAUUGGGACUGAGACACGGCCCAAACUUCUACGGAAGGCAGCAGUAGGGAAUUUUUCACAAUGGGCGAAAUCCUGAUGGAGCAAUGCCGCGUGACUGAUGAAGGUCUUCGGAUUGUAAAAGUCUGUUGUAAGAGAAGAAGUGCUAGAAUAGGAAAUGAUUUUAGUAUCGACCAUACCUUACCAGAAAGCCACGGCUAAAAAA
rnacentral:rRNA from 1 species